GGGAGUGGGUUGCUAAAGAAGGAGGUAGCUUAACCUUCGGUAGGGCGCUUACCACUUUGUGAUUCAUGACUGGGGUGAAGUCGUAACAAGGUAACCGUAGGGGAACCUGCGGUUGGAUCACCUCCUUACCGUAAAGAAGC
rnacentral:rRNA from 1 species